GUGGAUUAGAUACCCUAGUAGUCCACGCCGUAAACGAUGUCGACUUGGAGGUUGUGCCCUUGAGGCGUGGCUUCCGGAGCUAACGCGUUAAGUCGACCGCCUGGGGAGUACGGCCGCAAGGUUAAAACUCAAAUGAAUUGACGGGGGCCCGCACAAGCGGUGGAGCAUGUGGUUUAAUUCGAUGCAACGCGAAGAACCUUACCUGGUCUUGACAUCCAGAGAAUCCUGCAGAGAUGCGGGAGUGCCUUCGGGAACUCUGAGACAGGUGCUGCACGGCGGUCGACAGCU
rnacentral:rRNA from 1 species